GACGAACGCUGGCGGCGUGCUUAACACAUGCAAGUCGAACGAAGUGGCGAACGGGUGAGUAACGCGUAAUCAACCUGCCCUUCAGAGGGGGACAACAGUUGGAAACGACUGCUAAUACCGCAUACUGAAGGAGGGGAUUGCGUCUGAUUAGCUAGUUGGAGGGGUAACGGCCCACCAAGGCGAUGAUCAGUAGCCGGUCUGAGAGGAUGAACGGCCACAUGGGGACCGAGACACGGCCCAGACGCCUACGGGAGGCAGCAGUAGGGAAUCUUCGGCAAUGGGGGGAACCCUGACCGAGCAACGCCGCGUGAGUGAUGAAGGUUUUCGGAUCGUAAAGCUCUGUUGUUAAGGAAGCGGUACUUGACCAGAAAGGGACGGCUAACUCCGUGCCAGCAGCCGCGGUAAUAC
rnacentral:rRNA from 1 species